GCUCUUUUAAAUUUUGCCUUUUUUUUUUUUCAGUUGAGAAGGAUGUGUCAAGAAAAAUCUCUUUCUAUACUCUGGCCUCCAGAGAAAGGGGAACACAGAAGAACUGGUACCUCCAAAGAUAGGAAGAACUGAAAGAAGGAAAGGAGGAGGGAAGAAAGUGGAGAGGAGAAGACAGAAGAGGAGGAAAAAGAGAGAAAAAGGAGGUAGGAAAAAAGGAAGGGAAGGAGGCACGGAAGAGAAGGAAAGGAAAAGAGAAAGAAGAGAAGGAAAGAAUAAAAGAAAGAAAGAGAGUCUACAAACUAAGGAGGGUUUUGUGGGAGAAAACGCUAGGGAAAACAAUGCUAGCUUGCCUUUAAUUAGUGUGAAAAAAAAAGACAAAGUGAACAUUUUUUCCCUUUUUGAAAAAAGAAGGCACUACCGUUUGAAAUGGUAACUGUUUACAAGACAAACUAAGUUACAUGUGAACAACACUAUCAGCGUUCCAACACCCAAUCUUGCACCAUAUUGUGUAUCCACUUAAGAAAAACUGGCUCCAAUUAGGGAUCUCCUGUCGAGCAUCUUAUUUAUCUGCUUCCAGAACAGCUGUGAGCCAUUCAGGAUGCCACCAGUUUUUCCUCAUUACACUCUCCUUAGAAUUACAGAUGUGCCUGGCUCAUCCCCAGGGAGCCACAUUCUAGUAAACACAUCCUUCCUAUGUUUCGGGGGCUUCUCUGAAAUAAGCUUGUGAACACAGGCUGACAUGGUCAGUUGAAGUUGGCUUAAGAGACUUAAGGCUGCAAAUACCCCCUGUAAUUUCUUGGGAAAGGAGAGCUGGAUAAUGAAAAGGAUUUAGGGUGUGUGGGGGAAAGGGAGGGAGCUGGUCAAAAU
rnacentral:lncRNA from 1 species